rnacentral:rRNA from 1 species
UACGGAGGGGGCGAGCGUUAUUCGGAAUUAUUGGGCGUAAAGGGCGCGUAGGCGGCCCGAUGUGUCAAAGGUGAAAUCCCUCGGCUCAACUGAGGAACUGCCUUUGAAACUGUCGGGCUCGAGGCCGGGAGGGGGUAGCGGAAUUCCCAGUGUAGCGGUGAAAUGCGUAGAUAUUGGGAGGAACACCAGUGGCGAAGGCGGCAUCCUGGACCAACACUGACGCUGAGUGAGCGAAAGCCAGGGGAGCAAACGGG